AACACCCCAGUGCAGCAUGGGACUUCGUAAGAAGAGAUGGGAACACCCCAGAACAAGUCAUUGAAAGAAAAGUGCCUCUUAAGCAAGGGAGGGCUCAGAUAAAGCUGUUGAAAAUGUGCCAGUUACUAUUUCCCAAACCAAAUGUAGAAGACUGAAGGUGCUGUGCUGCUGGACUCCACUCACUUCCACAAAUGAAGAAAUCUCUGAGGUAUCCAUCACUGUCUUCAUGUUGGUAUUUGGAAGGAUAAGCUCUUCAGAAGAGAUGCUGCUGGUAUUUCUUCCCUAGGAAGCAUCCCCCAAGGGCUCCAUGGGACCGCAGAAC
rnacentral:lncRNA from 1 species